UACUGAACGCGAUACCUAGAUGAAGGAGAGACUAUAACAUACCUCUUGGCCCAGCACCUAGUUGAUGUAACUCUGCUCUCCUGCCUGGGCCACACCUACAGAAGAAAGAGUGACUUCUCACUGGGCCAGCACACAGGUCAUGUUAUUUUACUGCCUUGAUCCUUGUCCACAAUAAUCAUUGUACAUAGUUUUGGGCUCUUCUACUAGAAGACGUGCGGGAUGGUUAAAUAUCACUGGACCUAGCACCUAGGGAAUGUGACUCUUGUCUUUUGCAUCAGCCCCACUCGUUUUGAGAACUGUAACAUAUCACUGGGCCAAACACCUAGAAGAUGGGAAGUGUCUGCCUAUGCCCUGCAAACAGGGCUUUAGCCCUACCACUCUCAAGAGCCUCGUGACAUAUCUCUGCAUUCAUCAUCUAGGAGAUGUGACUCCUCCCUGCUGCCUGCGCUCUGCCUACAGGGAAGACCAUAACAACAUUUGGCCCAGCAACACGGUGAUGUGUUUUUUCCCAGGGCCUUGCUCACAGGGAGCAUUGUGACAUAUCACUGGAACCAGCAUCCAGGGCUGUGACUCUGUGUCCUGCUGUUAGAACAGGAUUGUAACAUAUCACUGACCAAGCACCCAGGUGAUGUGACUCUUCUGCCUGGUGCCUGCCUUCAGGGAAAAUUGUGACAUAUGCCUGGCCUAGCACCAAAGUGAUGUGGCUCUCCUGCUACCUCUAUGCACAGAUGGGUUGGUGAUGCUCAGACAAAUAUUCAGCACACCUGUGAGUCUGCGACUCCAGUAAUCAUCCACAGUCUGCAGGAGAAAUUGAGGCUCUCACCAACAAAUCAAGUGCACAAUUGAGAUUGCGACUCUUGUACUCAGACCCAACAUACAGAAUGUGUUGACUCUCAAUUUUAAAACCAGAACAUGUGUGAGAUUAUUAAUCUGAUCUCUAAACCAUCCUGCAAGUGUGAUUGUGACACAAGUCUCUGUUCAGUACUUGAGUGAUUUGACUCCUUUGCCUGGGCCCAGUCCAAAGAUGUAAUUGUGACAUAUCACUGAAACCAGCAUAUAGGAGAUGUGUCUCCAUACUCCUGCCUUGGUGCUGCCCACAGUGGGCACUGUGACAUAUCACUGGGCCUUGUAUCCAAGUGAUGACUGCCUGCAGGGGAUAUGGUGACAUUUUACUUUGCCCAGCACCAAGAUGACUUGAAUCUGCUGCCUUUGUUCUACUUUCAGAAGACAUUGUGACAUAUCGCUGGGCCUAGCACCAAGGUGAUGUGAAUCUUCUGCCUGGACCUGCUCACAGAGGGAAUUGUUACAUAUUUUUGACUUCAUCAACUAUUUGAUGUGACUCUCCUCUCUAACCUGGGCCUUGCCCAUAAAAAACAUUGUGGCUUAUCUCUGGGCCCAAAACCUAGGUGAUGUGACUGUCUUCUUAGGGUCAUGCCCACAGUAGAGAGAUGCCUUAUUGCUAAACCCAGCACACAGGUGAGGUGAUUCUUCUGUCUGGUCCCUGCCCACAGGGGUCAUGAUGACAUCUCUCUAAGCCCAUCACCUAGAUUAUGUGAGUUCUCUUUUUCUUCUGUUAGCUAUAUAGAAGAUUGUGACAUAUUGCUUGGCCCAGACCUCAUGUGAUGUGAAUCUCCUCUCAUGCCUUGGUCCUGUUUUUUUUUGGCCGUUGUUGUUUUGUUUUGUUUUUUGAGAUGGAGUCUUGCUCUGUUGCCUAAGCUGGAGUGCAGUGGCAUAAUCUAGGCUCACUGCAACCUCUGCCUCCUGGGUUCAAGUUAUUCUCCUGCCUCAGCCCCUGAAUAGCUAGGAUUAAAGGUGAGUGCCACCACACUCAGCUAAUUUUUGUAUUUUUAGUAGAGAUGGGGUUUCACCAUGUUGAUUAGGCUGGUAUUGAACUCCUGACUUCGUGAUCAACUCGCCUCUGCCUCCCAAACUUUUGGGAUUACAGGCAUGAGCCACCAUGCCCAGUCAAGAUGAUGAUACAUUUCUAAACCCAGGUUAUAGGCAGGUGAGGGUUCUUCUACCUAUACACACGUUUAAAGGGAUGUUGAAUCUCACACGUGGUCUCAGGGCCACAGGUACAAGCAUGGGUCUUCACCAGCAUGAAUAUCUCAGAGCAUACUGCGACUCUCCAGUGUAAUGUAUAAAGCUCUCAGGUGGGACAGUGUCCUAACAGGAUCCAGAACACAGAAAAGAUGUUGAUGCUCCUAUGCACACCCAGGUCACAGUAAAAUAUGUCAUUUUCCCACAUAAUCAUAGCCCAAUGUUGAGAUUCUGCAUCUCACACCUGAAAGAAGUUGAAAGAUGGAAAAUUGACUCUCUUAUAUAGAUCUGGUCUACAGGUAGGUUGGUGACAUUCAGAUCAAAAUUAAGUACACUUGUGAGGCUAUAACUCUUCUAAGAAGACACAGCUCACAGGAGCAACUGAUGCUCCUAUGAACAAAUCCAGUCCGUGAUUGAGAUUCUAACUCAUGUACUUAUUGUCAGGCCUCUGAGCCCAAGCUAAGCCAUCAUAUCCCCUGUGACCUGCACGUAUACAUCCAGAUGGCCUGAAGCAACCGAAUAUCCACAAAGGAAGUGAAAAUAGCCGUAACUGAUGACAUUCCACCAUUGUGAUUUGUUCCUGCCCCACCCUAACUGAUACGAUAUAUUCUCCCUCUGCCCUGAAGAAGGUACUUUGUAAUAGUCUCCCCCCACCUUAAAAAGGUACUUUGUAAUAUUCUCCCCACCCGUGAGAAUGUACUUUGUACACCUAUCCCAAACCUAUAAGAACUAAUGAUAAUCCCACCACGCUUUGCUGACUCCUUUUUUGGACUCAGCCCACCUGCACCCAGGUGAAAUAAACAGCCUUGUUGCUCACACAAAGCCUGUUUGGUGGACUCUCUUCACAGGGAUGUGCAUGACACUUAGACCCAACAUACAGCAGGUGUUGA
rnacentral:lncRNA from 1 species